rnacentral:siRNA from 1 species
CCAGAGUCCUCGUUUACCCUA